AAUGAACGUUGGCGGCGUGGAUUAGGCAUGCAAGUCGAGCGAGAACCGUAGCAAUACGGGGACAGCGGCGAAAGGGAGAGGAACACGUGGGUACCUACCCUCAGGCUCAGGAUAGCCAUGGGAAACUAUGGGUAAUACUGAAUAAUGUCUUCGGACCAAAGGUGUGAUUCCGUCCGAGGAGGGGCCCGCGUCCUAUUAGCUAGUUGGUGAGGUAACGGCUCACAAAGGCGAAGAUGGGUACGGGAUGUGAGAGCAUAAUCCCGCUCAUUGGGACUGAGACACUGCCCAGACACCUACGGGUGGCUGCAGUCGAGAAUCUUCGGCAAUGGGGGAAACCCUGACCGAGCGACGCCGCGUGCGAGAUGAAGGCCUUCGGGUUGUAAAUCGCUGUCAGUGGGGAGGAAAUGCUGGUGGGUUCUCCCAUCAGUUUGACCUAUCCGCAGAGGAAGGACGGGCUAAGUUCGUGCCAGCAGCCGCAGUAA
rnacentral:rRNA from 1 species